rnacentral:lncRNA from 1 species
AUUGGUCUCGUGGGAUAGGUUCCCUGUUCUCGUAGGUGUGUGAUUGUGGGUUUGUUUCUAAAUUUAAGUUUUAUUAUCUAUUAAAUAUAUAGAACGUUAAUGGACCGUCGAUUGAAUAAUUAGAUUAAAAAUCCACCGUUUAGAGUGAAUGGGCCUACACAACUUAUAUAAAACAAAUCAAUGAUAUGUUUUUAUAAUAUUAAUAUUUUCUGCCUUCCUAAGAUUAAAAUAAAAUAAAUAAAAAUAUUAUAAUAUUAAUAUGCUGUAAAAUAAAAACCCAAAGUUUCUCUCCGUUAAAAUUUCAUUCUUUUAAAAAAUAAUGUUUUUUCUUUUGGUUUUUUAAAUAAUUACUGAUCCACCAAUGGAGCGGCAUAUUUCUGGAAGCCAAGCAGGAGAUUUAAAUGCUUUUUAUUCCGAAAAUUUACUAUCUUAUUCUGUUUCGGCUUAAUUUGUUUCAUAUUCC